GAGUUUGAUCAUGGCUCAGAGUGAACGCUGGCGGUAGGCCUAACACAUGCAAGUCGAACGGCAGCACAGAGGAGCUUGCUCCUUGGGUGGCGAGUGGCGGACGGGUGAGGAAUACAUCGGAAUCUACUCUGUCGUGGGGGAUAACGUAGGGAAACUUACGCUAAUACCGCAUACGACCUACGGGUGAAAGCAGGGGAUCUUCGGACCUUGCGCGAUUGAAUGAGCCGAUGUCGGAUUAGCUAGUUGGCGGGGUAAAGGCCCACCAAGGCGACGAUCCGUAGCUGGUCUGAGAGGAUGAUCAGCCACACUGGAACUGAGACACGGUCCAGACUCCUACGGGAGGCAGCAGUGGGGAAUAUUGGACAAUGGGCGCAAGCCUGAUCCAGCCAUACCGCGUGGGUGAAGAAGGCCUCGGUUGUAAG
rnacentral:rRNA from 2 species